GAAAGAACCAAGCAACACGCGUCGCUCAGUAUCCGGAUUCACGUUUUCCAAUUCCUUCUAAUGCGGGACACCGAAGAGGAAGGAUGUGGCACAGUGGCUUCUCUUGUUGGUACACGUGGCCAGGAUCUUGAAUGAGAUGGCUGCUCUGUGGUUGGCUGGUGACGAGGAAGGAUGCCCUGCUUAUGACUAGUACAGUCCAGUAGUUGGCAAGAGGUCAGCCUUUGGCUAAAGACGGCUUGAGUUGAGAUGGCUGCUCUGUGGUUGGCUGGUGAUGAGGAAGGAUCCCCUACUUAUGACUAGUUCAGUCCAGUAGUUGGCAAGAGGUCAGCCUUUGGCCAGAGACAGCUUGAGUUGAGAUGGCUGCUCUGUGGUUGGCUGGUGACAAGGAAGGAUGCCCUGCUUAUGACUAGUCCAGUCCAGUAGUUGGCCCAGAGACAGCUUGAGUUGAGAUGGCUGUUCUGUGGUUGGCUGGUGACGAGGAAAGAUGCCCUGCUUAUGACUAGUUCAGUCCAGUAGUUGGCAAGAUGUCAGCCGUUGGCCAGAGACGGCUGAGAUGAGAUGGCUGCUCUGUGGUUGGCUGGUGAUGAGGAAGGAUCCCCUACUUAUGACUAGUUCAGUCCAGUAGUUGGCAAGAGGUCAGCCUUUGGCCAGAGACGGCUUGAGUUGAGAUGGCUGCUCUGUGGUUGGCUGGUGACGAGGAAGGAUCCCCUACUUAUGACUAGUCCAGUCCAGUAGUUGGCAAGAGGUCAGCCUUUGGCCAGAGACAGCUCGAGUUGAGCCAGCUGCUCUGGGGACUGCGUUAUGUGAGCAAAGGGAAGAAUGCAGCAUUAUAUGGUAAGUUUGGCAAUACAGUAUUGGAAUUAUAAAUUUCUGAAUGUUUUGUACUUUCCUGAUCAUCUGUAAAUUUAUUGAAGUAUUUUAAUGUAUAUUUGUAAGAAUAAAAAUAUAACCUCAAAUGUGUUUGCUUAUCAUAUUGCGAGUACUUAGGAAAUUGAUGGUUCAAGGAGGAUUUUAUCCUAUUUAUGAUUGGCAUUUGGAGCAAGUAAUAUGUUGCAAGGUGAUUGGUGAAUGCCUUGCUUCCUUUUUGGCUACAAUAUAGGCUCUUGCAUUUACUAGUGGAAGAGCAAGAGUAUAGUGAUAAGUAUGCUUAGCCAUGGAGGCUGAAACAUCCAGUGAAGGUGAAAAAUCUACAAAUGAUGGUAAGAGGAAGGAUAUGAUUUGAGGAAAAGUCCUGUAGAGAUAAGAGGAUGUAUAUAUCAAUCCAAUGAAUAAUUUUAUUUACAAUUACUACAACAUUUUUCAUCUAAAAUCCAAGCCACAUGCAUCACAUCACUCAUUUCCAUACAACCUUUUGCUUGUUCAAGUUCAUCUGAAUAAUUAUAUUACCAUGAACAUGUAAUCAAGCUGUUACACCAGGGUGAUUUCUAAAGCUUUAAAGAUAUUGCCUACCCCCCCCCCACCACC